GUUGGGUUUUUGGGUUUUUGGGUUUCUGGUCGGUUGGCUGGCUGGUUCAUUUUCGACCAAUGAAGCGUAAUUAAAAUUAAUAUUUAAUAUCGGAACGAGCUGCGGCGUUGCCCCUUGACUAUUUCAUUUAGCUUACUGGGUCAAUUCGACAAUGCCCCGUCUCCGACAAUUGAGUCCCCGACAGCUGAGCUCUUUAGCAUAUAAAUCGAGGAACUCCUUAGUCAAUCAGCAGCCUCUGCCUCCGGCUGAUUGUAAUAAAGACAUGGCAAUCGAGUAACGCCCGCGCCAUGUCAGCGAUGUCAACGUUUUUGACGUCUCUAAAAACCAAUCAGCUCUCAAACUAAAUCAAAAAUCAUAAAAUAUUCCGCGGCCUAGAGGAGGGGGAUGAAGGAGAGACACCCCAGAUGGUUGGAUGGAUGGAUGCACACAUGAGGCGUAGGAUGGCAACUGCAGCUGACAACAUGAGGAGGAGUUACUCCCAAGGAGGAGGCACUGUAUCGAUGGGAGUUGUGGCUUGCUGGAUGGGUGGAUGGCUGGCUCAGUGCCUUUUAUAAAUAAAAUUUGCAUAAAUUUAAUAAACCCUCGUAGCGUAGAGGCUACGUUUUGGCCACAAAAGGCUGCCAAGGCAGCACUUGUUAGGGGCCAAGGAGAUUUUGUGAUUUACCGAUAUAAGCCAGACCGUUGAAGCGGUUGUGUCUCCGCAAACAAAACCCAAAAA